rnacentral:rRNA from 1 species
GGCGGCGUCUUACACAUGCAGUCGUAAGAUGGAUAACAUUUCGGGGUGGAUUAGUGGCGAACGGGUGAGUAACACGUGGGCAAUCUGCCCUGCACUCUGGGACAAGCCCUGGAAACGGGGUCUAAUACCGGAUAACACCCGCCGAGGCAUCUCGGUGGGUUGAAAGCUCCGGCGGUGCAGGAUGAGCCCGCGGCCUAUCAGCUUGUUGGUGGGGUGAUGGCCUACCAAGGCGACGACGGGUAGCCGGCCUGAGAGGGCGACCGGCCACACUGGGACUGAGACACGGCCCAGACUCCUACGGGAGGCAGCAGUGGGGAAUAUUGCACAAUGGGCGAAAGCCUGAUGCAGCGACCCCGCGUGAGGGAUGACGGCCUUCGGGUUGUAAACCUCUUUCAGCAGGGAAGAAGCGAAAGUGACGGUACCUGCAAAAGAAGCGCCGGCUAACUACGUGCCAGCAGCCGCGGUAAUACGUAGGGCGCAAGCGUUGUCCGGAAUUAUUGGGCGUAAAGAGCUCGUAGGCGGCUUGUCGCGUCGGAUGUGAAAGCUCGGGGCUUAACCCCGGGUCUGCAUUCGAUACGGGCAGGCUAGAGUGUGGUAGGAGAGAUCGGAAUUCCUGGUGUAGCGGUGAAAUGCGCAUAUAUCAAGAGGAACACCGGUGGCGAACGCGGAUCUCUGGGGUCAUUACUGACGCUAAAGAGCGAAAGCGUGGGGAGCGAACACGAUUAGAUACCCUGGUACUCCACGCCGUAGGCGUUGAGAACUAUGUGUUGGCGAC